rnacentral:lncRNA from 1 species
UAAAGAAGUGGAAUGACUUUGAAAAUCUGUUGAUUCAGGAGGAAGAUGAUCUGUUACCCACUUCAUUUUCAUGAAUGCUUUGUUUAGGAAGGCACUGUAGACUUCACAGAAUAAAAUAUAUUUCAGUGGCAGUAGGUGGAUUGGGGCUUAUGAAGUGAAGAAAACAUGUGGGCGAGCUGGGUAGCCAUGUGAAAUGUAUAUGUUUGAUAAAGAGACUGGAAGAAAAAGAAAGAAUAGCACUAGAAAAACAAGGGGAAGCUGGAGCAAAAGAAAAAAAUAUAUUUUUAGAGAUAUGGAGAAGAUAAUAAAAGAGGAAAAAAGAAGAAGUGGAAGAGGAGAAAGAAGAAUGAU